rnacentral:rRNA from 2 species
AGUCGAGCGAUCAAUUAGAGCUUGCUCCUGUUGGUUAGUAGCGGACGGGUGAGUAACACGUUGGCAACCUGCCUGUAAGACUGGGAUAACUUCGGGUUACCUCAGCUAAUACCGGAUAAUCCUUCUCCUCUCAUGAGGAAAAGCUGAAAGUCGGUUUCGGCUGACACUUACAGAUGGGCCCGCGGCGCAUUAGCUAGUUGGUGAGGUAACGGCUCACCAAGGCGACGAUGCGUAGCCGACCUGAGAGGGUGAUCGGCCACACUGGGACUGAGACACGGCCCAGACUCCUACGGGAGGCAGCAGUAGGGAAUCCUCCGCAAUGGACGAAAGUCUGAUAGAGCAUCGCCGCGUGAGCGAUGAAGGCCUUCGGGUCGUAAAGCUCUGUUGUUAGGUCCGAACAAGUAUCGGAGUAACUGCCGGUACCUUGACGGUACCUACCCAGAAAGCCACGGCUAACUACGUGCCAGCAGCCGCGGUAAUACGUAGGUGGCAAGCGUUGUCCGGAAUUAUUGGGCGUAAAGCGCGCGCAGGCGGUCCUUUAAGUCUGAUGUGAAAGCCCACGGCUCAACCGUGGAGGGUCAUUGGAAACUGGGGGGACUUGAGUGCAGAAGAGGAAAGCGGAAUUCCACGUGUAGCGGUGAAAUGCGUAGAGAUGUGGAGGAACACCAGUGGCGAAGGCGGCUUUCUGGUCUGUAACUGACGCUGGCAAA